AGGCUUAACACAUGCAAGUCGAACGGUAACAUAGCUAGCUUGCUAGCUGAUGACGAGUGGCGGACGGGUGAGUAACGCGUAGGAAUCUACCUAUUAGUGGGGGACAACCUGGUGAAAACCAGGCUAAUACCGCAUACGCCCUACGGGGGAAAGCAGGGGAUCUUCGGACCUUGCGCUAUUAGAUGAGCCUGCGUUAGAUUAGCUUGUUGGUGAGGUAAUGGCUCACCAAGGCGACGAUCUAUAGCUGGUCUGAGAGGAUGAUCAGCCACACUGGGACUGAGACACGGCCCAGACUCCUACGGGAGGCAGCAGUGGGGAAUAUUGCGCAAUGGGCGAAAGCCUGACGCAGCCAUACCGCGUGUGUGAAGAAGGGUUUAGGCUCGUAAAGCACUUUAAGUAGGGAGGAAGGCCUGUAAAUUAAUACUUUGCAGGAUUGACGUUACCUACAGAAUAAGCACCGGCUAACUCCGUGCCAGCAGCCGCGGUAAUACGGAGGGUGCAAGCGUUAAUCGGAAUUACUGGGCGUAAAGCGCGCGUAGGCGGUUUGUUAAGCGAGAUGUGAAAGCCCAGGGCUCAACCUUGGAACUGCAUUUCGAACUGGCAGGCUAGAGUACAAGAGAGGGUGGUAGAAUUUCCUGUGUAGCGGUGAAAUGCGUAGAUAUAGGAAGGAAUACCAGUGGCGAAGGCGGCCACCUGGCUUGAUACUGA
rnacentral:rRNA from 1 species